CUCCGGUUGAUCCCAGCGGGACCCGACUGCUAUCAGAGUGGGACUAAGCCAUGCGAGUCGACGUAGCAAUGCGUGGCGAACGGCUCAGUAACACGUAGUCAACAUGCCCAGGGGACGUGGAUAACCUCGGGAAACUGAGAAUAAACCACGAUAGGUCACGAUUUCUGGAAUGGAUCAUGGCCUAAAUCUACAUGGCCCCUGGAUUGGACUGCGGCCGAUCAGGCUGUUGGUGAGGUAAUGGCCCACCAAACCUGUAACCGGUACGGGCCUUGAGAGAGGGGGCCCGGAGAUGGACACUGAGAUAAGGGUCCAGGUCCUACGGGGCGCAGCAGGCGCGAAACCUUCGCAAUGCGCGAAAGCGUGACGAGGUUAAUCCGAGUGGUCCCCGCUGAGGGGAUCUUUUGCCGGCUGUAAAAAGGCCGGUGAAUAAGGGGAGGGCAAGUCUGGUGUCAGCCGCCGCGGUAAUACCAGCUCCUCGAGUGGUCGGGGCGAUUAUUGGGCCUAAAGCAUCCGUAGCCUGUUCUGUAGGUCCUCUGUUAAAUCCAACGGCUUAACCGUUGGCCCGCAGAGGAUACCGCAGGACUAGGAGGCGGGAGAGGUGGACGGUACUCCACGUGUAGGGGUAAAAUCCUUUGAUCCGUGGAAGACCACCAGUGGCGAAGGCGGUCCACCAGAACGCGCUCGACGGUGAGGGAUGAAAGCUGGGGGAGCGAACCGGAUUAGAUACCCGGGUAGUCCCAGCCGUAAACGAUGCGAGCUAGAUGAUCCGGUCGCAAAUCGCGAUCGGAGUGUCGCAGGGAAGCCGUUAAGCUCGCCGCCUGGGGCGUACGGUCGCAAGACUGAAACUUAAAGGAAUUGGCGGGGGGAGCA
rnacentral:rRNA from 1 species